rnacentral:rRNA from 1 species
UACGAAGGGGGGCUAGCGUUGCUCGGAAUCAUUGGGCGUAAAGCGCGUGUAGGCGGUCCGGUAAGUCCGCUGUGAAAGUCGGGGGGCUCAACCCUCGAAUGCCGGUGGAUACUGUCGGGCUAGAGUGCGGAAGAGGCGAGUGGAAUUCCUGGUGUAGCGGUGAAAUGCGCAGAUAUCAGGAGGAACACCAAUUGCGAAGGCAGCUCGCUGGGACGUAACUGACGCUGAGACGCGAAAGCCAGGGGAGCAAACGGG